UACGGAGGGUGCAAGCGUUAUCCGGAUUCACUGGGUUUAAAGGGCGCGUAGGCGGGUAAGUAAGUCAGUGGUGAAAUCUCCGGGCUUAACCCGGAAACUGCCAUUGAUACUAUUUGUCUUGAAUACUGUGGAGGUCAGCGGAAUAUGUCAUGUAGCGGUGAAAUGCUUAGAUAUGACAUAGAACACCAAUUGCGAAGGCAGCUGGCUACACAAAUAUUGACACUGAGGCACGAAAGCGUGGGGAUCAAACAGG
rnacentral:rRNA from 1 species